UACGGGGGGGAGCAAGCGUUGUUCGGAUUUACUGGGCGUAAAGGGCGCGUAGGCGGCCACCGCAAGUCGACUGUGAAAUCUCCGGGCUUAACCCGGAAAGGUCAGCCGAUACUGCGGGGCUAGAGUGCAGAAGGGGCAACUGGAAUUCUCGGUGUAGCGGUGAAAUGCGUAGAUAUCGAGAGGAACAGCCUGCGGCGAAGGCGGAUUGCUGGGCUGACACUGACGCUGAGGCGCGAAAGCUAGGGGAGCGAACGGG
rnacentral:rRNA from 1 species